AGUGAAGGUGAUGAGGGAAUAAACAGGUAUGGAUGAGAUGGAGAGAGAGAAAGUGAAGGUGAUGAGGGAAUAAACAGGUAUGGAUGAGAUGGAGAGAGAGAAAGUGAAGGUGAUGAGGGAAUAAACAGGUAUGGAUGAGAUGGAGAGAGAGAAAGUGAAGGUGAUGAGGGAAUAAACAGGCAUGGAUGAGAUGGAGAGAGAGAAAGUGAAGGUGAUGAGGGAAUAAACAGGUAUGGAUGAGAUGGAGAGAGAGAAAGUGAAGGUGAUGAGGGAAUAAACAGGUAUGGAUGAGAUGGAGAGAGAGAAAGUGAAGGUGAUGAGGGAAUAAACAGGUAUGGAUGAGAUGGAGAGAGAGAAAGUGAAGGUGAUGAGGGAAUAAACAGGUAUGGAUGAGAUGGAGAGAGAGAAAGUGAAGGUGAUGAGGGAAUAAACAGGCAUGGAUGAGAUGGAGAGAGAGAAAGUGAAGGUGAUGAGGGAAUAAACAGGUAUGGAUGAGAUGGAGAGAGAGAAAGUGAAGGUGAUGAGGGAAUAAACAGGUAUGGAUGAGAUGGAGAGAGAGAAAGUGAAGGUGAUGAGGGAAUAAACAGGUAUGGAUGAGAUGGAGAGAGAAAGUGAAGGUGAUGAGGGAAUAAACAGGUAUGGAUGAGAUUGAGAGAGAGAAAGUGAAGGUGAUGAGGGAAUAAACAGGUAUGGAUGAGAUUGAGAGAGAGAAAGUGAAGGUGAUGAGGGAAUAAAUAGGCAUGAAGGAGAUGGAGAGUGUGAUGGUGAGGAGGGAAUAGACUGGCACAGCGGAAACACUCACCUGGUCAAGGC